AUGGAGUUGCUGUGCUGUGAGGGCACCCGACACGCGCCCCGGGCCGGGCCAGACCCGCGGCUGCUGGGGGACCAGCGUGUCCUGCAGAGCUUGCUCCGCCUGGAGGAGCGCUACGUGCCCCGCGCCUCCUACUUCCAAUGCGUGCAGAAGGAGAUCAAGCCGCACAUGCGGAAGAUGCUGGCGUACUGGAUGCUGGAGGUGUGUGAGGAACAGCGCUGUGAGGAGGAAGUCUUCCCCCUGGCCAUGAACUACCUGGAUCGCUACCUGUCUUGUGUCCCCACCGGAAAGGCGCAGUUGCAGCUCCUGGGUGCGGUCUGCAUGCUGCUGGCAUCCAAGUUGCGCGAAACCACGCCCCUGACCAAUGAAAAACUGUGUAUCUACACCGACCACCCUGUGUCUCCCCACCAGAUGCGGGAGUGGGAGGUGCUGGUCUUGGGAAAACUCAAAUGGGACCUGGCUGCUGUGAUUGCGCAUGAUUUUCUGGCCCUGAUUCUGCACCAGCUCUCUCUGCCCAGUGACCCACAGGCCUCGGUCAAAAAGCACGCCCAGACCUUCUUGGCCCUCUGUGCUACAGAUUACACCUUUGCCAUGUAUCCGCCGUCUAUGAUCGUAACAGGCAGCAUUGGGGCUGCAGUGCAAGGCCUGGGCGCGUGCUCCACAUCCGGAGAUGAGCUCACAGAGUUGCUGGCAGGGAUCACAGGCACUGAAGUGGACUGCCUGCGGGCCUGUCAGGAGCAGAUUGAAGCUGCGCUYAGGGAGAGUCUGAGGGAAGCUGCCCAGAUCACCCCCAGCCCAGCGCCCGAAGCACCCCGGGGGCUCCAGCAGCCAGGGGCCCAGCCAGACCAGCACGCCCACAGAUGUUACAGCCAUCUACCUGUAG